GACGAACGCUGGCGGCGUGCUUAACACAUGCAAGUCGAACGGAAAGGCCUGCUUUCCCUUGUGGAUUGCGGGUACUCGAGUGGCGAACGGGUGAGUAACACGUGAGUAAUCUGCCCCCAACUUGGGUAUAAGCCUGGGACACUGGGUCUAAUUCCCGAUAGUACUGCAGGGUGGUUCCUGUGGUGGAACACGAUUUUCUAGUGGUUGGGGAUGAGCUGGCGGCCUAUUAGCUUGUUGGUGUGGUAAUGGCCUACCAAGGCGGCGACGGGUAGCCGGCCUGGGAGGGGGCACGGCAACAUUGGGACUGAGCUACGGCCCAGACGCCGGCGGGAGGCAGGAGUGGGGAGUAGUGGACGAUAGGCGGAAUCCUGAUGCACCGGCGGAGGGAGGGGGAUGACGGCCUUCGGGAUGUAAACUUCUGGCGAUCGCGAGGAUGCCACCUGGUUGGUGGGGUGGUGACGGUACUGGCAGAAGAAGCACCGGCUAACUUCGUG
rnacentral:rRNA from 1 species